GUGAGGAAUUUUCCGCAAUGGGCGAAAGCCUGACGGAGCAAUGCCGCGUGAAGGAUGAAGGCCUAUGGGUUGUAAACUUCUUUUCUCAGAAAAGAAUUAUGACGGUAUCUGAGGAAUAAGCAUCGGCUAACUCUGUGCCAGCAGCCGCGGUAAGACAGAGGAUGCAAGCGUUAUCCGGAAUGAUUGGCCGUAAAGCGUCUGUAGGUUGUUUAAAAAGUAUUCUGUCAAAGAUUAGGGCUUAACCCUAGAUAGGCAGAAUAAACUUUUAAGCUAGAGUUUGGUAGAGGCAGAGGGAAUUCCCGGUGGAGCGGUGAAAUGCGUAGAUAUCGGGAGGAACACCAAAGGCGAAGGCACUCUGCUGGGCCAAUACUAACACUGAGAGACGAAAGCGAGGGGAGCAAAUGGGAUUAGAAACCCUAGUAGUCC
rnacentral:rRNA from 1 species